UACGAAGGGGGCUAGCGUUGCUCGGAAUCACUGGGCGUAAAGGGUGCGUAGGCGGGUCUUUAAGUCAGGGGUGAAAUCCUGGAGCUCAACUCCAGAACUGCCUUUGAUACUGAAGAUCUUGAGUUCGGGGAGAGGUGAGUGGAACUGCGAGUGUAGAGGUGAAAUUCGUAGAUAUUCGCAAGAACACCAGUGGCGAAGGCGGCUCACUGGCCCGAUACUGACGCUGAGGCACGAAAGCGUGGGGAGCAAACAGGGA
rnacentral:rRNA from 1 species